rnacentral:rRNA from 1 species
UACGGAGGGUGCAAGCGUUAUCCGGAUUCACUGGGUUUAAAGGGUGCGUAGGUGGGUUGGUAAGUCAGUGGUGAAAUCCCCAGGCUCAACUUGGAAACUGCCAUUGAUACUAUUGAUCUUGAAUACCGUGGAGGUCAGCGGAAUAUGUCAUGUAGCGGUGAAAUGCUUAGAUAUGGCAUAGAACACCAAUUGCGAAGGCAGCUGGCUACGCGAAUAUUGACACUGAUGCACGAAAGCGUGGGGAUCAAACAGG